GUUCAGUGCUUGGGGGCAGUCCUGUUUAACACCUUUAUCAAUGACCUGGAUGAGAGGAUCAAGGGCACCCUCAGUCAGUUUGCAGACGACACCAAGUUGGGCAAGAGUGUUGAUCUGCUGGAGGGUAGGAAGACUCUGCAGAGGGAUCUGGACA